rnacentral:misc_RNA from 1 species
CCAACAUCAUUUGCUCCAUCACCAAUUGCCAGUGUUGUUUUACCUGUUUGUGUUUUCACCAGUCUUGUAACAAGGGCUUUAUGUUUUGGUGUAGAACGACAGCAUAUAACAGAAGCACAGCCAAGUGCAAGCUCCAAAAACUUCUUCUCCAGACUCUUGUCCAGCGCGAAAGCUAAAGACUUUCCAUCAAUCACUAAACCAAAUGUAAGUGAGCUUUCUUUAGCAGAAUUAAGUUGAGAUUUUCCGUCUCUUAUUUGUUCCGUCACACUUACAAGAGAAGCCUUAGAAACGGCAUCCUUAUCCCCUUGUUUUUCUAAAGCUUCAAUUUCUGGGGUGUCAAGAGUGAUAAUAAUCUGCUUCAUUUCCUGUCUCAGAAGACUACACGCAUACCCUAUAUUUAUUGCUGUUUCCAUCUUGUCGCCAGUUAAGACCCAUAUUUUAAUUCCAGCAUGUGCAAGCUUUUCAAUGCACUC